rnacentral:rRNA from 1 species
GACGAACGCUGGCGGCGUGCUUAACACAUGCAAGUCGAACGGAAAGGCCCUGCUUUUGUGGGGUGCUCGAGUGGCGAACGGGUGAGUAACACGUGAGUAACCUGCCCUUGACUUUGGGAUAACUUCAGGAAACUGGGGCUAAUACCGGAUAGGAGCUCCUGCUGCAUGGUGGGGGUUGGAAAGUUUCGGCGGUUGGGGAUGGACUCGCGGCUUAUCAGCUUGUUGGUGGGGUAGUGGCUUACCAAGGCUUUGACGGGUAGCCGGCCUGAGAGGGUGACCGGCCACAUUGGGACUGAGAUACGGCCCAGACUCCUACGGGAGGCAGCAGUGGGGAAUAUUGCACAAUGGGCGGAAGCCUGAUGCAGCAACGCCGCGUGCGGGAUGACGGCCUUCGGGUUGUGAACCACUUUCGCCUGUGACGAAGCGUGAGUGACGGUAAUGGGUAAAGAAGCACCGGCUAACUACGUG